UACGUAGGCAGCGAGCGUUGUUCGGAGUUACUGGGCGUAAAGAGUGCGUAGGCGGUUUUCUAAGUUUGGUGUGAAAUCUCCCGGCUCAACUGGGAGGGUGCGCCGAAGACUGGAAGGCUUGAGUAUGGGAGAGGUAAGCGGAAUUCCUGGUGUAGCGGUGAAAUGCGUAGAUAUCAGGAGGAGCACCAAUGGCGAAGGCAGCACUCUGGGACGUGACUGACGCUGAGACGCGAAAGCGUGGGGAGCAAACAGG
rnacentral:rRNA from 1 species